rnacentral:rRNA from 1 species
UACGUAGGGCGCAAGCGUUUGUCCGGAAUUAUUGGGCGUAAAGAGCUCGUAGGCGGUCUGUCGCGUCCGUUGUGAAAACUCGAGGCUCAACCUCGGGCUUGCAGUGGAUACGGGCAGACUAGAGUGCGGUAGGGGAGACUGGAAUUCCUGGUGUAGCGGUGGAAUGCGCAGAUAUCAGGAGGAACACCGAUGGCGAAGGCAGGUCUCUGGGCCGCAACUGACGCUGAGGAGCGAAAGCAUGGGGAGCGAACAGG